CAGUAGCCACGGUAAUACGGAGGGUGCAAGCGUUAAUCGGAAUUACUGGGCGUAAAGCGCACGCAGGCGGUUUGUUAAGUCAGAUGUGAAGUCCCCGAGCUUAACUUGGGAACUGCAUUUGAAACUGGCAAGCUAGAGUCUUGUAGAGGGGGGUAGAAUUCCAGGUGUAGCGGUGAAAUGCGUAGAGAUCUGGAGGAAUACCGGUGGCGAAGGCGGCCCCCCGGACAAAGACUGACGCUCAGGUGCGAAAGCGUGGGGAGCAAACAGGAUUAGAUACCCCUGUAGUCCCUGUCUCUUAUAC
rnacentral:rRNA from 1 species